AUGAGGGCUUGUCAUUUUGGAUGGCCAAACGUAUAUACAUUCACGAAGGCAAUGGGGGAAAUAUUACUUGGUCAAUACAAAGGGGAGCUUCCGAUUGUCAUUAUUAGACCCACCAUGGUCACAAGCACUUUUCAAGAUCCAUUUCCUGGAUGGAUUGAAGGAACGAGGACAAUUGACGCUCUGAUUGUCGCCUACGAUGAGCAAGCACUGCCAUGUUUUCUAGGUGAUCGUAAUGACAUAAUUGAUUUGGUGAGUAAUACAAGAAAUAAUUAUAUUUGUCCCCCUGCUUGUAAAUUCUUUUACUCUGAACUAAUGAAUUUGGACAUUGCUUUUUAA
rnacentral:rRNA from 1 species